CUAGAAACCACCGCCUCUGGAAACCAAUCCAACCCAUCUUACCGUUUGCUUCUCUCUUACUCCUUCAAUCUCCACCGUUCCUCCUUCACCGCUUCGUCGAUAAAUAGCGGGGGACCUGCGGCCCUCCAUUAUUCGUUCGCGGUAGAGUCGGUUCGUCGGUAGGCUUUUCUUGUGUUUAUUUUUUCUCUUUUUUUCUUUUUUUAAAUCUAUAUUUUUAGUUGCUGAGGUGCGUAGUUUUAUAUCUUGAUUUAGGGUUUCCGUUCUAUUGUUGGUCCUUAAUUCGCUGGAUGUUGGGUUAUCUUCGGUCGACCGAUUUAGUUAGUUUGGAGCGCUUUAGGGUUUCCUGCUGUUUCGUGGUUAAUUCGUGGGAUUUUGAGUUAUCGUCGGUUGAUGCUCUUGAUGUGGAGUGAUCGAGGAUUUUGACGAAUUCGUUAAUUAUUUGCACUUCUUCAAGGGUUUUCGUUCGACCUUUGGUGGUUGAUUCGUUGGAUUUCGUUCGUCUUUGGCUGGUGCACUUGAUUUGGAGUGAUUAGGAUUUCCUGAUGAAUCCAUUGUGCGUUUUGAAGAAUCUGGAAUUAUUGGUUCUUCUUCGUGGGUUUCCGUUGGGCUUUUGGUGGUUGAUUCGUUGGAUUUUCGAAUUUGAUGUGGCGUAAUUAUUGUUUCUUGAUGAUACCGUCCUGUGUUUUACGGAAUAUGGAAUUAUUGAUUCUUCUUCGAGGGUCAUCGUUUGAUCUUCCGCGGUUAAUUUUCUGGAUUUUGAGGUUGGUUCUUUGCUAGGAUUUCUUGAUGAAUUUUCCUGCGCUUUGCAGAUACUGGAACGGUUUUUCUUUUCUUUCCACACCCCCAAACUCCCUUCCUUUCGAACUUUGGUGGUUAAUUCGCCUGAUUUGGGGUUAUCUUUGGUUGAUUCGCUUGUUUUGCGGUGAAUAGGAUAUCUGAGGUAUUCAACUCUGGCUUGUUAGAAUUUGGAUUUAAUUUGGAUUUUGAGUUAUCGUCGGUUGAUCCAGUCUUGACGAAUUCGUCAAUUAUGUGCUCUUCUUCGAGGGUUCUCGUUCGACAUUUGGUGGUUGAUUCGUUGGAUUUCGUUCAUUAUCGGCUGGUGCACUUGAUUUGGGGUGAUUAUUGUUUCUUGAUGAGUCCGUCCUGCGUGUUACAGAAUCUGGAAUUAUUGGUUCUUCUUUGAGGGUUUCCAUUCGAUCUUCAGCGGUUAAUUUUCUGGAUUUUGAGGUUGCUUGCUCGGGUUGCUUGAUGAGUCUGUCCUGUGGGUUUCAGAAUCUGGAAUCAUUUGCUUCUUUUUUUUUUUUUGAGGGUGUCUGUUCUAUUUUGGCGGUUAAUUCUCUGGAUUUGGGUUCUCUUUGGUUGAUUCACGUGAUUUGGCGUGAAUAGGAUUUGUGAGGUAUUCGACUCUUGCUUCUCAGAAUUUGGAAUUAGUUGUUCUUCUUCGAGGGUUUCUAGUGCUUGGUUCGGUUAAGGAUAGGGGUAGUUUGGUUUGAUCGAUGAAUCUGGAGUGCUCUUUGGCUGAUUUAGGGUUCUUAAGAAUUGGCUUGGUAUUUCUAUGUGUUAAGCAUUGGUUGGUGAUCAUAUGAUUAAUCGACAGCUUCUCUCUUUCCUGGUUUCGUGGAUUCCUUUUGUUGAAGCAUCGAUCCUUUCUUUGACGUUUGAAGAAGCAUCACAGAGGUAUCAUUAAGUAGUCUGAAAGUGGUUCUGGAUUUGAUGUAUUUGACCAUGGCUUUUGAGCUUCCGUUGCUGAGAAUAUCAAGUAAUGCGGAGGGUGGAGUUAAGAUUGAUUUCUCAUAAGGGGGCUUCUAUAUCUUAUUUUUGGAUCAUAUUAGUGUGAUUUGCCCAAUCUACUUCGGUAUAUUUGCUUUGUAGUUUCGUGCAGCGAUAUGUGAUCCUAUUUUGCAAAGAAGACAUGUCCUUCAGCUGUCUCAUCUUGUCCGUUUUUUUGUGGUUGUUGUUGCUGUUUUGCAGAAAUAUGAGAGGCAUUGUGUUUGUGACGGGCUAACAUUAAUUUUACCAUAGGCUUUAGUCUGUAUAUCCUUCUAUUCUUGUCGCUGUUAUGGAGUUCGCAGAACUUGUUUACCGGCGUUAUGGUUCCUUUGCAUUCAGUUUUGGUGGUUCGUCUAUACGGUGGUGUGCUAAAGAAAAUUAGGUCCUUUGGUAUGAGUGCUGCACUUUUGCUGGUUGUUGGUUGCUGUAUCAUGUUUUCAAUCACUUCUUGAUUCGUUCCUAACUCUGAUGUAUGUCUUCAUCUUCUGCUGUUCUGCUUCACCUCAAGCAACCACUUUGGUGUUAUAAUGAUUGAUUCACUAAGGGGUUAUUGUUUGCCAAAGCAACGAUAUGGAGUGGUGAGCCAUUGAUAGUGGUUAGAUUUGUAUUAAUUGCUAAUUAAUUUUUGUACUUUUUAAUUGUUACUUGUUACUAGCCUGGUUGGUUGUUUCUGUUUCUGUUUCAAAGAGCUUGUAUUAGCGGACAUAUUCCUUUUUGACAUUUUUGUAUGUAAUUUAUUGGCUUUGUUAAUGUUCAUUAGUGAUCAAACUUGUUAUUGUGGGUUUGCUGAUAUUUGGCAGGAUAUGAUGAAGGGUAGUUUUCAUAUUUGAGUGUGAUAUAGUUUUUGUCCAUUAGCAUUACGUGUUUCUUGUAGAUGUUAUAUUGACGUUCUGUUCGAGGCAUUUUUUAUUUAAGCUGUUUUAUCUGACUUUAUUCCCUUUUUUUUUUGACUCAUAAAACUUUCAAAUGGUACCUAACAUUUUUAAAUAAUACCUGCAUAUUACCUUUGUCUUCCCAUGCGUGCUUGUUAGUCAGAGAUUGGAAUUAAAGACCGUGAAUUUUGGAGGUUUGGAGGUUUGGCAGUGCGUAUGGCUAUGCCGUUGAUGGUGAUGCUGAUGUAUGAAGUGUCACUUUUUUUAUGCUCUUGAUGAGGCAGAUGUCAAUUAUUACUUGUCGGUGUCGCAUUUACUCAAUGAGUACAUUGGUUGAGAUAAUUCGUAAUUCUGUAAGAGACAUGUUCUUUGAGAAGCUUUGCUUUUUUUUUUUUCUUGUUGUUCAUUUGAUGGUGAUUGUAAUUUUGUAAAUGAGCAAUUUUUUUUGAAUAUUUUUUUGAAGGGUCAAUGAUUGUUACCAUUUGGACUAUUUUCGUAGUCUUGUGGCAAAGUUUUUUUUCUUGUUUUUUGUAUGGUUAUCACCAUGUCUUUUCAUCUCUCUCUCUCUCUCUCUCUCACACACACACACACACACACACACACAAUGUCAGAUUUGAAAUUGUCUCUAGAAUUAAGGUGUUGGAUUGUGAAAUGGUGGGGAGAAAAUUUUGUGUAUCACCUUUGGUAGUAUUAUUGAUUGUUUUGAAACUCCUCUCUCCAAUCCCUGCUAGUUAGGAUAUAUGUUGAUCAUCACUCUUGUUGUUAUAGUUUUUCAUGGGCUUGUACUGAUGGGGGAUUUAGUGAAGGGGGGUUUACUUAGUGACUUGCUUCUUCUAUAAAUGUUGUCUUGUCAUAUAAUCUGUUAAUAGGUUGACGUUGUUUGGAGUAAGGAUAUGAUAUUUGAGAAGGGGAUGUGUCUAACUAGGUAGCAUUAUAGGUUAAUAUCUGUUGGUCUUUUUUCUCGAAUCUAUUCUAUCUAAUAACCAGUUUCUAUUCUGCUCUACUUUUUUUCUUGUACCGGAUGGGGAUAUUCUGGUGUGGAGUUUAUUUUUUUAUUUUUUUCUCUUUUCAAUUAGUAAUUUGCUCUUUUUGUAAAUGUUUUGUCAUAUGAUCUAUUAGUAGGUUGAUGAUGUUUAGAGUUGGAGGAUAUGAUAUUUGUGAAGGGGGUAUGUCUAACCGGUGUAUGAUAGGACUUGAGGCUAAUGUCUCAAUGCUUGGGAGGGUGCUUGUAUGGAGGAGGUUUCAAUUUUAUUUUCUUUAAUUCAUUUUUUUAUAUGCAUUGUUGUCAACUUCUUACUGAUAUUUUGUCUUCUCAAUUGUCCCAGAGUGGAAAUCUAAGUUGUCAUUCAACUUAUGGCACUAGGCGUUAGUGCUUCUUUUUCUUCUUCUUCUUCUUUCUUUUUUUUCCUUUCUCCUUCCUAAGGAGAGAUCUUUCAGUAUGGUUUUUUUUUUUUGUGUUCUUUCUUAAGUAUGUAUUAUAUCAUGUAAUUUUUUUGAAGGAUGUGUUUUGCACGUGUGCUAGUGAUUUAGGUUGCAUUGACCAGCUUUCCUCCCUCAUAGAUGUUCUCCCAUAGAUAAAUGUUGAUUAGAAUCUUGUUAUUGUUGUAGCUUUUUGAUGAAGUGCAUGUUUGGGGGUGCGUUUGUAAUCGUUAAGUGAUUUCAGAUCUAAAAGCAGAAUUUUGAGUGUUUGGCUGCAAUUCAAAAAUAAUUCUGGAUUAUGUUUAAGAUCUCCCAAAACGUGGUUUACGGAAAGUUCACCUCCUCACAAUUUUAGGAUCAUUUUAGAUAUUUUUUCUUUGAUUAUUUUAUCAUUCCAAAGUAGUUUUUGGGUCUGUUAACCAAACAUACAUUAAAUUUAGGAUAUUGAUAGUUUUUGGAACUGUUCACCAAACAUUCAGUAAAUUAGGAUAUGGAUCGUCAAAUAAAAUAUUGUUUUGUCCUAGAACUGCUUUUGAUAUCAAAAUACAAUUUUUACUAAAAAUUGAUUUUUGGUUGAAAGCUAUUGCAUCUCCAAACCGAUUUGAAGUUUUUAUUGGAUAAAAUUUUUCCUCAAGGGCGUUCUGAAAUGUUCUCUUCAAUCUUUAGACACUUUCAUUCUAAGUACUCUCGUCAUCUUUUGCUGACCUCUGCCAUUUGAGUUGCUUGUUUUUGACGAGAAAUCAGCUUUAAAUACCAAGCUAUGAUUAGAUUAAGGAUGUGUGGUCAUUCUGGAAAGGUUAUUUGUAUGGUGGUGGUCUCUCACCUUUGAGGUGAUUGUGACUUGUAUUUGUUGAUUUUUAUUCUUCCCAUCUAAUAGUAUUUAUAGCUAGGAUGAUGAUAAUAACAAUUUUGAUGAUUGUUGUAGUGUUGCUAGAACUUGUAUUGGGGCGAUGUGUUCAUUUCUUUUAUUUAAAAUAACUUGCUAAUUUAUUGAAUAUUUUGGUGGUUAGAUGCUUUGUUGUUAUCAUGAUCGGUGAUUAGACCUGAACCUGCCAUCUUGGGUUGAUGCUUGUAGGUGGAUAUGUGUCUCAUGGAGUGUUUUGUUCGUGAUAGUGUAUCGCCUAUUUUCCAUGAGGCAUGACUUUGUAUCGGGUAUAGUGUUCAUUGUUACUGGUUGCCAUUGCUAUCUUUGGCCGGGUUUGCUUUUUCUUCAAGGCAGUUCUGUGAAUUUGUUUUAACCUAAAAUGUGUUUGGUUGUAGUAAAAAUCAAGUUAUUUCAUUUUCUUUAAAAUUAUUUUCACAACUUUUUAAUAUGGGGUGCUUGGUUAUGUGAUAGAAUUUUGUGAAGGUUCUAAAAAUCAGGAAAUUGAAAAUUUUCUUUUCAAAUUGAAUUUUGAAAAAAUGGAUGAAUUUUUUUUAUCAUCAUCUUCAGAUUUUCCCAUUAUCAACUUUUCCUUAUUAACCAUAAAACAUCCCUUAAAAUGACUUUAGCCUUGGGAAUUUGAAAUUUCAAAGGGAUAAAAAGCUAUAGUUGAAAUCCAUAACCUCGAAGUGUGGCCUUAGUGUUCUGUCAUUAUUUGCUAAUUCUUGCUUUCUGGGUGGUCUGUUUGUUAAUCAGCGGUUGGACCUGGGAGAUGAAGUAUGUGAUCAGGCUUAAAACCAUAGCCUCCAAGUGUGGCCUUAGUGUUCUGUCAUUAUUUGCUAAUUCUUGCUUUCUGGGUGGUCUGUUUGUUAAUCAGCGGUUGGACCUGGGAGAUGAAGUAUGUGAUCAGGCUUAAUACCGGCUGAGAUGAGUUGUAUUGAGGGUGUUUUUUUUGCAUUUUUCUCAUCUGUUUUUUCCUUGUUUUCACUAGUGGUGGUAGAUACUAAUUGUAAUUUCUAUUGCUGUUGCAGUUUUUCAAAGGCAGGCAUUAGUGGAGACCGAGUAGUGCGUUGAACAGUGUUAUAGCUUUUCUUCCUUCUAAAAGAACUUCUAGUAAUGGCGGUUUUUGAGUGAAUGCUGUGAUCACCACUUGGUUUGUUUUUCAGUUGGGUCUUGCGAAAUGGGCUGAUGAUAAUUUGUGGAUAUGAUUUUAAUCAGUGAUUUUUUCACCCAAGUGAUAUGGAAUUUGUCAAUUAGCAUUAUUUUUGCCUUUUAUUGAGGAUUUUGUUGACCAUUCUCUUGUUAUUUCUGCAGUCUUACGAGAGGUUUUGUUUGAGGGACUUUUCAGGUUCUAUCUGAAUACUAUUUUGACUCAAAAUCAUUUCAAUAUAAUUCUUGUUGUCUGCAUAUACCUUCGUCUUCCUGUGCUUGUUUUUUAGUCAGUGAUUGGAAUUGAAGACCAUGUGUUAUGGGUGUUCGGAAGGGAUGAUUUGUAUAGAGGUGGUUGGAAUUGAAGACCAUGUGUUAUGGGUGUUCGGAAGGGAUGAUUUGUAUAGAGUUACUCAAGGGCUUAUAUUGGUCGAGUCAAAAGAUGGAGUACCAUGACUUCAGUAAAAGAUGUUUCUUUGGGAUAAUGGUGUUCUCGCAUUUGAUAGUUAUUUUAAUUGUGUAAGCGAGCAUUCAUUAAUGAAUAUUUUAUUUAUGAUAAAUGUUCCUUGCAGUUAUUCUAGUCUUGCAGCAACGUUUCUUCGAGGCACUUUUCCCCAGUUAUUCUAGGCUUGCAGCAAAGUUUCUUCAAGGCACUUUUCCAGGGAGAUCCAAUCUUCUUUUUAUCUCUUGUUUUCUGUGUGUGGUGGUCACUAUUUGCUGAUUGUUUCUUCUCCAAUAUGUUCCUUUUGGGACGAGAAACUAGGAUGCCAUCAGAACUAAGGCAUUAGUUUGUUAAUGUGUGUGAGAUUGACAUGGAUUGGCUCACCUUUGGUAGUAUUAUUGAUUGUUUUAAUGAUCUUACCGCCCUAGCUUCAAUCAUCACUCCUGCUUUGACAGCUUUUCAUGGGCUUUGUCUCGGUGGAGGA